rnacentral:misc_RNA from 1 species
AAACCUACUAAGUGAUAACUUUCAAAUUCAGGGUAACCCCGGAAUUCAAAAAAAUGGGCAAUCCUGAGCCAAAUCCUGUUUUKUCAAACGAAAGGUUCAGAAAACCAAAAAGGAUAGGUCCAGAGACUCAAUGGAAGCUGUUYUAACAAAUGGGGCCACGGGUAGACGAAUGUUUCCACCAAAACGUCAGAAAAGAAAGGACAAACCUAUCUAUUGAAUACUAUAUCAAAUGAGUAAUGGUGGCCGGAAUCUCUAGAUGUAUUUUUUUCUAUGAAAAGUGAAAAAUAGAAGAAUUGGUGGGAAUUCAUUCGACAUUGAAGAAAAAAUCGAAUUUUGAUUCAUCAAAUCAUGCACUCCAUAGUCCGAUAAACCUUGUAAAUAACUGAUUAAUCGAACAAGAAUAAAGAUAGAGUCCCCUUCUACAUGUCAAUACCGGCAACAAUGAAAUUUAUAGUAAGAGGAAAAUCCGUUGACUUUAAAAAUCGUGAGGGUUCAAGUCCCUCUAUCCCCAAACAAGCCUAUUUGACUCCCAAAAUCUUUAUCCGACCCUCUCCCUUUCGUUUACAAAUUGCUUUAUUUUUCUGAUUCUUUUACAAACGUAGUUGGGCGUAAAUUACUUUAUCUUCUCCUAUGUGAUAUAGAAUAAACAUCCAAAUUUAGCAAAGAAUCCCGAUUUAAAUGAUUCACAAUCAAUAGCUUUACAAAUACUGAAACUUAGAAAUAGAAAGUGGUCUUUUUGCAAAUAAAAGAAAUUGAAGUACUUGGCGAAAAAUUUGUAAUCCCCCCUUUCCCUUUAAUUGACAUAGCCUCAGUCAUCAACUAAAAUAAAAAAAUGAGUAUGGGUUACUACGAUGGGAAUGGUCGGGAUAGCUCCGCU